rnacentral:lncRNA from 1 species
UAUAACCAAACAAAAGGGUACAUGGUUGAAGCAAAAUGGUGUCAUGAGCGUUACAUUCCAACAUAUGAGGAGUAUAAAGCUAAUGGAGUCUUAACUUCUUGUUUCCCUUGUAUGAUAUGAUAAUAUCCUAUGGUUACCGUUCGGUAUUUUUAUACAGCUACCGUCCGGUACACCUUUUUAUAACCACUGGUUGGGCUUCAUGACCCACCUUUGUGGUUAUCCUUUCUUUUAUGGUGACCGUUCGGUAUCUCUAUAAAGCAACCGUCCGGUACACCUUUUUAUAACCACUGGUUGGGCUUCAUGACCCACCUUUGUGGUUAUCCUUUCUUUUAUGGUGACCGUUCGGUAUCUCUAUAAAGCAACCGUCCGGUACACCUUCUUUAUAACCACUGGUUGGGUCUCUAUAAAGCAACCGUCCGGUACACCUUCUUUAUAACCACUGGUUGGGCUUCAUGACCUACUUUUGUGGUUAUGAUAAUACUUUAUGGUUACCGCUCGGUAUCUCUGAACAGCAACCGUCCGGUACACCUUUUUAUAACCACUGGUUGGGCUUCAUGACCACCUUUGUGGUUAUCCUUUCCUUUAUGGUGACCGUUCGGUAUCUCUAUAAAGCAACCGUCCGGUACACCUUUUUAUAACCACUGGUUGGGCUUCAUGACCCACCUUUGUGGUUAUCCUUUCCUUUAUGGUGACCGUUCGGUAUCUCUAUAAAGCAACCGUCCGGUACACCUUCUUUAUAACCACUGGUUGGGCUUCAUGACCUACUUUUGUGGUUAUGAUAAUACUUUAUGGUUACCGCUCGGUAUCUCUGAACAGCUACCGUCCGGUACACCUUUCUUAUAACCACUCAGUUGGGCCUUCGUGGUUAUCCUUUCCUUUAUAUUUUUCACUCUUUCUGUACUUGUAAUUCAAUUCAAUCUCAUUUCAAUCUAUACUACCUUCUUUUUCUUUGGCUUC